AUAGUACUCCCUCUCUCCCAAAAAACUUGUUCCAAGUUUGUCCCUCAAAUGGAUGUAUCUAGCACAAACUUGAUACUAGAUACAUUCAUUUGAGGGACAAGCUUUUUCAGAUAGAGGGAGUACAAA
rfam:Triticum aestivum genome assembly, contig: Triticum_aestivum_CS42_TGACv1_scaffold_019716_1AS